UUCCCAGAGGUGGGUCCCCUAAUGAAUGGUCUUCUCAUGUGGCUGACCAUGCUGUGUAUUUGGAGAGUGGAUAAGGUAUGGCAAGGAAACAGCAGUCACAGAGGAAUGGUCCCUUCUGACUCUGCUUGGUGUUCUUCAUCUCCUCAUGUCGGGCUGCAGCAGUCACAAGUUAUGGCUUGCACAGGCGAAGGCUCCUUUGCCAAGCUGAAUACCAAGACAUUCAUCCUUUCAGGUCUUGAGAUGUGGUUUUGGCUUGCUCCUGAAGGCCAGCACCUCUCAGGAUCGUGGCCUCCCGUGUGGUUCAGCAAUGCGAAGCUUUAAUCUUCAGUCACAACAACUAUCAAACACUUGUGCAGCCCUCCCUGUCAUUGGGAGAUCCGCUGUUUAAGAGCGCUCUCCUCUUCUACACUCUGAUCUCUCUGUUACCUUCAGCUGGGAAUAAACAUUUGAGAAAGCAGUUUAUCAUCUCUCCAAGGAGAUUUUUCACUUUGGGAGCUCGGUGGCAUCCUUGCUUUCCUUUGCUACAGCCCUAAUUCCCCAGACGUGUGCAGGUCUGUGCAUUUGGGCUGUGCCAGGGCUGCUGUCCCCAUGCCCCAGAGCUGCUCCCCACCAGCCCUGCUACGCAGAGAGCGGUGGGGCGAUGGCAGCAGCACAUUUCCCACCACUACUCCCUCCUUAUUAAUGCUGUGUAAUCAGUCAGUCCACAAGUAAUUAAUAAUGGCUCUAAUUGCCUUUCUACUCCUCCACCCUCCUGCUGGCAGAGGCAGCUGUGUAGAUCUGACACAGGAGCGGUCGGCUCGUCCCCUCGCCAGAGGAGAGGAGCAUCCUGGUGUAUUUCAGAGCUCUGGGUCGGUGCUGAGCUCCAAGGUGGUUUAUUUGUCAGCAGCAGUGCAGGUUCAUUUAUUCUUUAAUUUUAGUUAACAGGCCCUCACCCCAAAAAGCUUGAUGCUGGUAUUAAGGCUGUCUGUAUGCGUGAGAAAGGCGAUAAAUACUUGUAUUUGGGCAUUUGGGCUUCUGAAUGAAGAAGCCAAGUGUGCAGAGUGCACAGCCAGCUUGGUCAAGACAGCUCUAGCACUGCUUCUCUCAAAGGGAAAGACCAGGACAGCUGCUUCCCUUGCUGGUUUGAAAUCUGGAGGUCCAGCAGACUUUAUGGGGUGGUUCAAUCUGCCAGAGCACAAAUGCUUGCUCUGGCCACCCCAGCAAAAAAGGGUGAAAACAGGCACCUCGAAGCUGCUGCCCAACGUGAACACAGAGACCACCUCGGUGUGUUAGU